rnacentral:lncRNA from 1 species
UAGAGAAUUCCUUCUCCCUGUAGAGUUUUACCCCCUGCUCCUCUGGCCGCCCUCCGGAUGGAUCUUUGUGCUGCCAGGCAGGAAUGGGCUGCUUGGGGACCCAGUGAGCUCCGAGGGCCUUUCUGCUGCUUCCUGUACCCCUGUAUUUCGCUCGGCUCUCUGACUUGACUCAGCUCCAGGAGGAAUCUGCAUAGAUUAGACGAAAAAGUUAAAAGGAGUAUGAAUGAAAAAACUACGUGUACAAGAUGUCCAAGAUGAACAAAACUAUACAAUAAAGUUCAUUUCAGUAUACAACAUGUAUUAUAUUCAACAAGGCUCAAAUUUUUUGGUAAAAGGAAACAGAGACCUGUUUUUCUAGCAGGAAGAUAUUUUUCUUGGGAUGUUUUGUUUAUGCUGGCUUGAAUAACACUAUGGUGAAUGUCAUAAGAUUAAUUCAUUUUUAACAUCUCUGUAAAAGCCAAGGAUGCAGUGUGUCCGUGGAGAAUUUAAAUCAUACAUUUUAACACACAUAUUAAAAUUAUGGAUUCUCAAGUAAUGAUAAAUUAACAGAACCCUUUGAGUUUUUU